CAUUAGAUGGCUGAACCGCAAGCCCUGGUCUCUUAAACCAUUAUAUAGUAAAUUAGCACUUACUUCUAAUGA
rnacentral:tRNA from 1 species